CCGACUUCUGCCACAGCCAAUCGUAAGUGAGGACGGCAAGCGGUGCGCCGCUACGUCACAACAGCGCGAUGAAUUCUUCUGGUAGAGAGGGGAAGUGCCCCGCCACCGGCAAGCGGAUUUGCACGCCUGCGCAACAGCUCCAGGCUCUAAUUGCUCUUCUGACAGCCUAUGAGAAGACCAGAAGACUAGAGUGGUAGUUUGGAGAGCAAAAUGAAGGCCCUUUCCCGUCCCUGUCCCCUCAGUUGGCCAAUGAGGAACUGAAGCGACUGAUGGGGCUUGAGGUCUGGGACGGGAAAGAGCGCCAGGUGUUACAUCACUAAAAUGGGUGGAGCAGAAGUCUGGUUUGGGAAAAGAGCGGUUGGAUUGACGGGCGAAGGGGCCCUGGGGAAGGCGAGAAAGUCAAAGUUUGACAGAUGGCCAUGGCUCUCCACCAAGCCCUCUGCAGUUGCUGCGUGACCACAGAUUUGUGAAAUAGCAGGCUACCCUGCAAAUGACCAAUUACAAGUCCCUAUGGCUUCUGGGGCAGGCUGACCCCAGGUCCCUGGUGACCAGCUUCCUUCCCAAAAUAGUUUCCUGCUUGAAAUGAUCUUCCCCUCUUCAGCAGCUCAGUGAUUAAAUAAUCAUGACAGAACAGUCUGGGGCACGGACCUGGGCAGUCAUCAGCAGCUACCACGUGUUUCCAGAAAGAAGUCUGGCGUCCCGGCACUUGGGGCAGGAGUCAUAGAGCUAGUCCCCACCUUUAGGGAGCGCCUGGUCUAAUGUCCUUCCCCAGCCAUCAGUCAUCCAACCGAGUUGCUGCUCAGUGAAGACUGAAUGACCCACUGGAGCCGUGCCCUAUGGAACCCAAGAAGGUUCUCUUAUCACAACAGGAAGCAAAAGUCACGGGAGAGCAGGAUUUCAAAAGCAAGAUUUCUUCAGCACCUUGGAAACACCCACUUGCCUGCCCAGCCUCCCCUCAGUUUCACCUCUUAUCUCCGCUCAAUCACUCACCGUUCCAGAUCUUUUUUGGACUUCAGUUUCUAAACUUAAAUCAGGCUUAAUUUUGGGGAGGGGAGGCAGAAGUGAAAGAUUUCACUAGGCAAUGUAUUUGACUCUCAGUCUCCUCACCGACCCAUGACAUGGCCUAUUGUUUGGAACAGUUUAUUUUUUGAAAUGUCGGAGCUCAGCUGUUCCGUCCUCAUCUCAGACUUUGUACAUUCAAAAGCAACCCUUCAUCUUCAUCUUCAAAAUCAGCCCGGUUUCCUCAUCUCUCUUAAAUGGUACCACCAUCUACCCAGCCGUUCAAGUUAAGCUUUGAUUCACACCUGCCAGCUUCAUAAAUAGGUACCAACAGAGUCGGCUGAUUCUUGGUUUGUCUGAAAUGUCACCCUACGGGCCCCUCAUCACAGUCACCCCCAUGCAGUCGCAGCCUUUAUCACUUCCUCAUGCCUGGACUCAAUAACAACCCCCUACCAGACUUAUCAACUCACUCCAUGCUGCCCAGUAUGUCAAAAUUAAUUCACCCAGAGCACAGAUUUCAUCACUCUCUUUGCUGCACGGAAGCUGCAUCGCGGCCUAUGGUGCGAAGUCCAGCCAGACACCCAGCCUGGCAUUCCCCACAUUCCUCUGCAGUCUGGCUGCCAACUUCCCCAGGCCAUCUCCCCACUCCCCAAAAGACACCCACUGCUCCCACCAGGCUGCUUAUAAAUACUGCACUCUGCUUGGUGGGGGGCAGAUGCUAACUCAUGGGAAGGGAGAGAAGGAGGGAGGCAAAGAGAGUGGAAGUACUCAGCUCUAUCUCCUCAACCCACCAUUCUAGUCCUUACCAUGAGCACCCUCCUGGGAACUGUUCCAUCUGUGUC